rnacentral:tRNA from 1 species
AACCCUAUAGUUUAACUAAAAACAUCAGGUUGCAAGCCUGAAAUUGGUCUCCUAGGGUUU